GACGAACGCUGGCGGCGUGCUUAACACAUGCAAGUCGAACGGAAAGGCCCUGCUUUUGUGGGGUGCUCGAGUGGCGAACGGGUGAGUAACACGUGAGUAACCUGCCCUUGACUUUGGGAUAACUUCAGGAAACUGGGGCUAAUACCGGAUAGGAGCUCCUGCUGCAUGGUGGGGGUUGGAAAGUUUCGGCGGUUGGGGAUGGACUCGCGGCUUAUCAGCUUGUUGGUGGGGUAGUGGCUUACCAAGGCUUUGACGGGUAGCCGGCCUGAGAGGGUGACCGGCCACGUUGGGACUGAGAGACGGCCCAGACUCCUACGGGAGGCAGCAGUGGGGAAUAUUGCACAAUGGGCGGAAGCCGGAUGCAGCAGCGCCGCGUGCGGGAUGACGGCCUUCGGGUUGUAAACCGCUUUCGCCUGUGACGAAGCGUGAGUGACGGUAAUGGGUAAAGAAGCACCGGCUAACUACGUG
rnacentral:rRNA from 1 species